rnacentral:rRNA from 1 species
AUUGAACGCUGGCGGCAGGCUUAACACAUGCAAGUCGAGCGGAGAUGAGGUGCUUGCACCUUAUCUUAGCGGCGGACGGGUGAGUAAUGCUUAGGAAUCUGCCUAUUAGUGGGGGACAACAUUCCGAAAGGGAUGCUAAUACCGCAUACGUCCUACGGGAGAAAGCAGGGGAUCUUCGGACCUUGCGCUAAUAGAUGAGCCUAAGUCGGAUUAGCUAGUUGGUGGGGUAAAGGCCUACCAAGGCGACGAUCUGUAGCGGGUCUGAGAGGAUGAUCCGCCACACUGGGACUGGGACACGGCCCAGACUCCUACGGGAGGCAGCAGUGGGGAAUAUUGGACAAUGGGCGGAAGCCUGAUCUAGCCAUGCCGCGUGUGUGAAGAAGGCCUUUUGGUUGUAAAGCACUUUAAGCGAGGAGGAGGCUACCUGGAUUAAUACUCUGGGAUAGUGGACGUUACUCGCAGAAUAAGCACCGGCUAACUCUGUGCCAGCAGCCGCCGUAAUAC